rnacentral:rRNA from 1 species
UACGAAGGGGGCUAGCGUUGCUCGGAAUGACUGGGCGUAAAGGGCGCGUAGGCGGUUUGGUUUGUUAGGUGUGAAAUCCCGGGCUGCAACUCCGGGCGUGCCGGUCAGACUGGCGAGCUAGAGCACGGUAGGGGGCAGAUGGAAUUCCCGGUGUAGCGGUGGAAUGCGUAGAGAUCGGGAAGAAUACCAGUGGCGAAGGCGUUCUGCUGGGCCGUUGCUGACACUGAGGCGCGACACGUGGGGAGCAAACAGG